rnacentral:tRNA from 1 species
GGGGGUAUAGCUCAGUUGGUAGAGCACCUGCUUUGCAAGCAGGAUGUCAGGAGUUCGAGUCUCCUUGCCUCCACCA